GUACGGAAACGUAUUAGCGCCACACAACUUUUUUUUUAUACUUCUUCCUACGUUUGCGUUAUAACGCAAACCUUUGCGAAAUAACGCAAACCUUUUGCGUUAUAACGCAAACAUUUGCGAAAUAACGCAAACCUUUGCGAUAUAACGCAAACAUUUGUUUUAUCUUAUAUCUUAUUUAAGAUUCAAAGGAAGGAGCAGUUAUUAUUGGAGGAGGCUGCAUAUAUUAAAAUUUAUCUUCUUUGUACUCAUUGCAAAGUAAAAUGCUUUACUAUUUAACUAAUAAUGAGCAGGAUAAUAGAUAUAAGAAGAUGUUGUAUGAGUGCCGAUGAGAAAACUCUCCAUCUAAGUUAUAAUUGGUAAAAGUAAACCAUUAUAGGUCAAAGUACGGUCUUCAACACGGAGCAUUGACUCACACCGAACAUCAAGCUAUAAAGUGCCCCCAAAAAUGAUAUACAUGAUAAUACAUGUACAUAUAUUACAAUGAAAAUUGAGUAAAUUAAAGUUAUACCGAAGAAAAAAAACAACCCUGCUAAUAUAGCUAUAGCCGAUUAUAAAUAUACUUCCAAAGUAAGCUCUCGUUUGAGGAAUGUGUAAGGUUGGUUAACUACCCUUUUGCAAUAAAUGAAUAAAAUGAAGAUGUUUUAUUAAUAAAAUUAUGUUCUCUUCAUUUAAAUUGCUACCAAGUUACCACACUAGAUUGAAAAUUUCAUGACUUUUUAUCAAAGAAUCUUUAUCAUAUUCUGAGAUUUUAAAAAACGAUUUCUUACAUCAGAAUUAAAAAAGAAAAAAAUCUUUCUUAAUAAUUCAUUUUACAGCAGAAAGACCAUUUUGCCUAUUUGACUUGACAGUUUUACAAUUGUAUGACAUUAUUUUUGCUCGUACUUAUCUACUUAAUCAAUUUUUUUAAAAUGUUGGCCUUUCAAAUAAAAUAUGCCUAUAACAUUUCUAUUUUCUUGUUAAAUUAUAUACUUUUCUGAUUCCUAUGCAUGUUUAUUAUAAUGACUUUGCCUUGUAUUUAUGGUUCUUUUCCUAACUAAAUCACAACAGAAAUUUAAUGACAGACGGACAUAUAUACAAAACUUAAAGAAGAAUUGAAAUCAAAAGAUGUUUGCGUUAUAACGCAAAGGUUUGCGUUAUAUCGCAAAGAUAGGAAGAAAAUUAUAAAAAAAAUAAUUGUGUGGCGCUUAUACGCUUCUGUAUAUUUCAACGCAUCUUGAUAAUUCCUCAGAGCACAUCAAGAAUUCUUUUCUUUUGUCAAAAUUUACAACAAAAUGCCGCCCGACUAAAAUGUAUUGUUUUGAUUGCGUGCAUGUUCAUUAAAUAUAGCAAUGCUGCAAACAAUAAUUUACAAGCGCAACGUUUCCUGACAUGUCUGUGUUUUUUUUUUUUUUGGUUUUUUUAGUUGUGUUAUUAUAUUAUUGAUACCAUAGUUUUAUAUUUUGGUUACAUUGUAAAUCUUACAGUUGUCAUGUUGCAGUGAUGUUUAUUUAAUAUGAAUUUGUCCUCUCAGUAUUUCAAUAUUAAUAUGUUUUAUUUGAUAACAAUAUUGACGAUAUCAUGUUUUCUUGAAUACAUGUGAAUAGUGA